rnacentral:rRNA from 1 species
AUGCAAGUCGAGCGGACAGAUGGGAGCUUGCUCCCUGAUGUUAGCGGCGGACGGGUGAGUAACACGUGGGUAACCUGCCUGUAAGACUGGGAUAACUCCGGGAAACCGGGGCUAAUACCGGAUGGUUGUCUGAACCGCAUGGUUCAGACAUAAAAGGUGGCUUCGGCUACCACUUACAGAUGGACCCGCGGCGCAUUAGCUAGUUGGUGAGGUAACGGCUCACCAAGGCGACGAUGCGUAGCCGACCUGAGAGGGUGAUCGGCCACACUGGGACUGAGACACGGCCCAGACUCCUACGGGAGGCAGCAGUAGGGAAUCUUCCGCAAUGGACGAAAGUCUGACGGAGCAACGCCGCGUGAGUGAUGAAGGUUUUCGGAUCGUAAAGCUCUGUUGUUAGGGAAGAACAAGUGCCGUUCAAAUAGGGCGGCACCUUGACGGUACCUAACCAGAAAGCCACGGCUAACUACGUGCCAGCAGCCGCGGUAAUACGUAGGUGGCAAGCGUUGUCCGGAAUUAUUGGGCGUAAAGGGCUCGCAGGCGGUUUCUUAAGUCUGAUGUGAAAGCCCCCGGCUCAACCGGGGAGGGUCAUUGGAAACUGGGGAACUUGAGUGCAGAAGAGGAGAGUGGAAUUCCACGUGUAGCGGUGAAAUGCGUAGAGAUGUGGAGGAACACCAGUGGCGAAGGCGACUCUCUGGUCUGUAACUGACGCUGAGGAGCGAAAGCGUGGGGAGCGAACAGGAUUAGAUACCCUGGUAGUCCACGCCGUAAACGAUGAGUGCUAAGUGUUAGGGGGUUUCCGCCCCUU